rnacentral:rRNA from 2 species
AACCAGCACCUCAAGUGGUCAGGAUGAUUAUUGGGCCUAAAGCAUCCGUAGCCUGUUAUGUAAGUUUUCGGUUAAAUCUAUGCGCUCAACGUAUAGGCUGCCGAAAAUACUGCAUGACUAGGGAGUGGGAGAGGUAGACGGUACUCGGUAGGAAGGGGUAAAAUCCUUUGAUCUAUUGAUGACCACCUGUGGCGAAGGCGGUCUACCAGAACACGUUCGACGGUGAGGGAUGAAAGCUGGGGGAGCAAACCGG